UACGUAGGUGGCAAGCGUUUGUCCGGAUUAUUGGGUUUAAAGGGUGCGUAGGCGGCCCUGUAAGUCAGUGCUGAAAUAUCCCGGCUUAACCGGGAGGGUGGCAUUGAUACUGCAGAGCUUGAGUACAGAUGAGGUAGGCGGAAUUACGGUGUAGCGGUGAAAUGCUUAGAUAUCGUCAAGAACACCUAUAGCGAAGGCAGCUUACUAGGCUGUAACUGACGCUGAGGCACGAAAGUGUGGGGAGCAAACAGG
rnacentral:rRNA from 1 species